rfam:Trichobilharzia regenti genome assembly, scaffold: TRE_contig0016832
GUGCUGCCUAAGAGUCCCAAACUAGGACGAAACAGCUGUCCAGUAC